rnacentral:misc_RNA from 1 species
CAACCCUUAAGCCUAGCUUAGUGUUGGGAAUCUACUUCUCUUCGGAGUUGUAGUUCCUGAAAUACAACGGCGGAUUUGUAGUAUCCUCUGAGCGUAGUAAUCUUUUUCUCGCUUUUGUUAGGUGCUAUAACUCCCAGCCGCUAAACCCCCAAUUUUUUGU